rnacentral:tRNA from 1 species
GAGGCCGUAGCUCAAUGGCAGAGCACCAGAUUGUGGAUCUGGCGGUUGCGGGUUCAACUCCCGUCGGUCUCC